GUAGUCAUAUGCUUGUCUCAAAGAUUAAGCCAUGCAUGUCUAAGUAUAAACAAAUCUAUACUGUGAAACUGCGAAUGGCUCAUUAAAUCAGUUAUAGUUUAUUUGAUAAUACCUUACUACUUGGAUAACCGUAGUAAUUCUAGAGCUAAUACAUGCUCAAAAACCCGACUCUCGGAAGGGUUGUAUUUAUUAGAUAAAAAACCAAUGCGGUCUCGGCCGGUUAUUUGGUGAUUCAUAAUAACUUUGCGAAUCGUAUGACUUUGCGUCGACGAUGAUUCAUUCAAAUUUCUGCCCUAUCAACUUUCGAUGGUAAGGUAUUGGCUUACCAUGGUUACAACGGGUAACGGGGAAUA
rnacentral:rRNA from 1 species